AGGCUGGAAAUCAAUUAUAGUGGGUAAAGUUGAGACUGGAGGAAGAUCCAAACUACGAUUUGUAAAUGGAUUUAACAUUUGUAUAGUGCCAUCAGAUAUGGAUUGGACAAUCAACCAUCCAUGACCAGAACCGCGAAUGAACUUGUUGUACGACUGCAUCUCUGACAGCAUGAUAUGGUAAAUAUCUUUCUCUUCAAGGGCACAAGUAUCAAGAGUUUCAUCAUCUGCAGCACCUAAUUGCAUGAGAUGAUGAAUCUCCUCGUCUUCGUAGGAAUAAUUCUUGACAGUUUCGUCAGGUAACAAUAACCACGGAAUUUUGUUUCCAUUGGGAAUCUUUGGAUGUUUCAAGCUCCACUCUUUGCAAACCAAUCGAAGCCGGAUGUAAUCAUCGUAGGCAUGGAACCGUUUUGAAAUUUCUUUAAACAAAUCUUCAUUAAUGUCUGCCCAUCGAUUAAUCUCGUCCAUGUCUCUGACGCAAGCUAUGUUGAGUUACAAAGAGUCAGAUCUGAAAACAAAAAAAAGGGUCAGAAUUUGAAAAUUCAUAAAAAAUAAAACGUCAAUUCACUCCACCCACAAAUUAAACUACAAACACGAAAAAGGAUUCAUAAUAAUCGUCAGAACCAAACCCUAGCAUAAAGAUUAUACACAGGAAGCAAUCAGAUAGAUUAUUUUGGUUAUGCAAUUUAUUCAUCCAAACUUUCACUCAAACAAUGUGUUUCACUAUAUUUAUAUCAUUUAGGAGUUAUAAGAAUGCUGCAACAGAGAAAGAAGUACAAAAUUACUACCCAUACGGUUUAAAUUAUGUUUUCUAUGUAGAGAUAUUAGAUAAGGAAAGGAAUUCUUUUGAGCAAUAAGUGAAAUUCUUUUGCCAAAUAAUUAUUAUCGGAAUGACACAACAAAAAAUUGACACUUAAUUGUUACAUAACCCACUGACGAGGAAGCAGUCCUUUGGCUUUGCGUUUAAUUGCUAAGCGGCCUACCUUCAUUGUACCCUUUGCAAUACAUACAACACAGAAUUAAGUAUGUGGCAUCUGAAACUUCCUAACAAGAGAGGUCAAGAGCUAGAAAGAAAUUAAUUUAUAGAAGCAGCAUAACAAAUCCAUUUUAAGCAAUAAUUUCAACAAUAACAGUUACCUAUUCCAUAGUCAAGUGCAAAACCUAUUCACAAGAGGAGAACAU